rnacentral:rRNA from 1 species
UCCGUAGGCGGAUUGAUAAGUCAGAGGUGAAAUCCCACAGCUUAACUGUGGAACUGCCUUUGAAACUGUUAGUCUUGAGUUAUAUGGAAGUAGAUAGAAAGUGUAGUGUAGCGGUGAAAUGCAUAGAGAUUACACAGAAUACCGAUUGCGAAGGCAGUCUACUACGUAUAUACUGACGCUAAUGGACGAAAGCGUGGGGAGCGAACAGGAUUAGAUACCCUGGUAGUCC